rnacentral:lncRNA from 1 species
AACAUCAUAGAUAAGACCCAAUCUGCAGGGAUAAGACACACACUAACUUCCUUAAAUUGCAUUCAACUUACCACUGGGAUCAUUAUAAUAGAAUGACUAGUCACUAGAUAAUAAAGGCUGGAGUGCAAUGGUGCCAUCUCAGCUCACUGCAACACCUCCCCCUCCCGGGUUCAAGUGAUUCUCCUGCCUCAGCCUCCCGAGUAGCUGGGAUUUCAGGCAUGCACCACCACGCCUGGCUAAUUUUGUAUUUUUAGUAGA